CGCCGCGUGAGUGAGGAAGGCCUUUUGGGUUGUAAAGCUCUGUUGCCGGGAAAGAAAGUUAGUGUAAGGAAAUGUGCAUUAAUUGACGGUACCUGGUGAGGAAGCACUGGCUAACUACGUGCCAGCAGCCGCGGUAAUACGUAGAGUGCAAGCGUUGUCCGGAAUCAUUGGGCGUAAAGGGUACGCAGGCGGAUAUACAAGUCAAAUGUGAAAGGUGUAGGCUUAACCUACAGAUUGCGUUUGAAACUGUAUAUCUUGAGAGCAGCGGAGGAAGGCGGAAUUCCUGGUGUAGUGGUGAAAUACGUAGAUAUCAGGAAGAACACCAGUGGCGAAGGCGGUCUUCUGGGCUGCAUCUGACGCUCAUGUACGAAAGCUGGGGUAGCAAACGGGAUUAGAUACCCCGGUAGUCCCAGCUGUAAACGAUGGUCACUAGGUGUUGGAGGUUCGAAUCCUUCAGUGCCGGAGUUAACGCAUUAAGUGACCCGCCUGGGGAAUACGGUCGCAAGACUGAAACUCAAAGGAAUUGACGGGGGCCCGCACAAGCGGUGGAGCAUGUGGUUUAAUUCGAUGCAACGCGAAGAACCUUACCGAGAAUUGACAUCCCGUGACUACUUGUGAAAGCAAGGNUUAGUGUUUACACUACACGNAGACAGGUGGUGCAUGGCUGUCGUCAGCUCGUGUCNUGAGAUGUUGGGUUAAGUCCCGCAACNAGCGCANCCCUUGUC
rnacentral:rRNA from 1 species